GACGAACGCUGGCGGCGUGCCUAAUACAUGCAAGUUGAGCGAUGAAGCUUGGUGCUUGCACCAAUUUGAAGAGCAGCGAACGGGUGAGUAACGCGUGGGGAAUCUGCCUUUGAGCGGGGGACAACAUUUGGAAACGAAUGCUAAUACCGCAUAACAACUUUAAACAUAAGUUUUAAGUUUGAAAGAUGCAAUUGCAUCACUCAAAGAUGAUCCCGCGUUGUAUUAGCUAGUUGGUGAGGUAAAGGCUCACCAAGGCGAUGAUACAUAGCCGACCUGAGAGGGUGAUCGGCCACAUUGGGACGGAGACACGGCCCAAACUCCUGCGGGAGGCAGCAGUAGGGAAUCUUCGGCAAUGGACGAAAGGCUGACCGAGCAACGCCGCGUGAGUGAAGAAGGUUUUCGGAUCGUAAAACUCUGUUGGUAGAGAAGAACGUUGGUGAGAGUGGAAAGCUCAUCAAGUGACGGUAACUACCCAGAAAGGGACGGCUAACUACGUG
rnacentral:rRNA from 1 species